UACAGAGGUCUCAAGCGUUGUUCGGAUUCAUUGGGCGUAAAGGGUGCGUAGGCGGUUUAUUAAGUCAGUGGUGAAAGCCCGGAGCUCAACUUCGGAACUGCCAUUGAUACUGAUAGACUUGAGUACAGAUGAAGUGGGCGGAAUGUGACAAGUAGCGGUGAAAUGCUUAGAUAUGUCACAGAACACCGAUUGCGAAGGCAGCUCACUAAAUUGUAACUGACGCUGAGGCACGAAAGCGUGGGGAUCAAACAGG
rnacentral:rRNA from 1 species